rnacentral:lncRNA from 1 species
AUGCAUGUGAUUGGGAUUAAAUUGUUUAAUCUUUUAUUUCUGCUGUACAAAAAUUUUAAAAUCAUAUGCAUAGCACUACUGCAUAUUUUCUUCAAGUUGAUCCUGAUUUGAUCAGGUCUAUGGCUCAGUUAAUUUACUGAUUUAAUCAGGUUUAAUUAAGAUUAUGGGAGCCUAAUUAGAUUAGGUUCAUCAUGAUUUAUUUAGGUUUAAUUGAAUUAGAUUUGGAUGAAAUCUAAUUGGAAACUUAAUUGGUUAAACCCUAGAGUCCAAUGUGAUUGGACUUUCUCUCUUGCGCCUUCCCUUCCCUUCACACCUUCUUUCAUCACACAAAUUGGUUUAUGUGCUGAAUAAUCCACACCAAAGCCCUCCUAUUGUUGCCCAUUAGUGAUAGGAUUAGGUUAGUUUUAAGUUGAAUUCAAAAGGUUUGAAUUUAAACCUAAAACCAUAUCCCUAUCCUCCCACAUGCCAGCACUUUGUGAAAGGCUUCUAAUAUAUGCGACAAAAGGAAGUACUCCUAUUUUAUUUUCCAUGCCAAAAAGUUUGUUUGGCCUCUUUCAUCUAGAUAUGGAUGGGUUAAGUCCCAUUUGAUUUGAAAUUCAAAGGGAGUUUGAAAUUUGAAUCAAACAAAUCCUUAUCUCAUCCCAAUUCCUUUUGCACGGC